rnacentral:rRNA from 1 species
UACGUAGGGGCAAGCGUUGUCCGGAAUCAUUGGGCGUAAAGAGCGCGUAGGCGGUCCGGUAAGUCCGCUCUGAAAGUCCGGGGCUCAACCCCGGGAGGCGGGCGGAUACUGUCGGGCUAGAGUCCGGAAGAGGCGAGUGGAAUUCCUGGUGUAGCGGUGAAAUGCGCAGAUAUCAGGAGGAACACCAAUGGCGAAGGCAGCUCGCUGGGACGGUACUGACGCUGAGGCGCGAAAGCGUGGGGAGCAAACAGG